UCUAUGGAUUCCAUCAAGCUGGUAGCAGAGGGUUUAGCAGCCCUGCUUGCCCUUUUCUUGAUCUGCAAUAUUUGGAAAAAAAAAGAAAAGAGAAGCAAGAUGCCGACUACCGCAACCCAACCGUUCUUGUCCAAUAGUCGGACGCCUUGGCCGGCUGACCGGAACCACACCUCUCUAUAGAGCUGCUGUCAAGCAAGCACAUCCGGGUCGAGCGGUGGGCUCCUUUGUGCGGCGCCUGUACAGCAGUUGCAGCAGCCGUGAGCCGGCUGAGCUGCUCCGUCUCUCCACAAAGCCAUGAAGAGGGUUCACCUUAAGAUGGAUGAAGUUGCCUCGGCUUGGCUUGCAGAGCACCGCCGGAAGAAAUCCAAUAGCGCCAGCGAGAAGAGAUACUUGAUUGACGUGCUCAUUAAAGAAUUAGAAGACGGCCACCGCUAUGACAAGAGUUUUAUGUUAUAUACACACAAAAGUAGCUACCAAGUACCGAGACUGCAAAUACCAUCACCACAUCUAUGAUUCCAUCAAGCUCGCAGCAGAGGGCUUAUGUAAUAUUUGAAAAAAGAAGAACAGAGAUACUUCAUCCAGCUCGCAGCAGAGGGCUCACACACAAUAUUAAGAUACUUCAUCCAGCUGACCGGAACCACACCUCUCUAUGGAACUCUCAGUACUCUUCUAGAAAAGCACGGGCCUCUCUUCAGUCUCUUGAGCAGAAACGCCUUGCUACAAUCGUGCCAUGUUCGCAUUCAGCCCAUAUGGACCUUACUUUGGUGAACUCCGCAAGAUCGUCGCCAUCGAGCUGCUGUCAGGCAACUCGAGCUGGUCAAGCACAUCCGGCUCCUUUGUCCGGCGCUUCUACCGCAGCCGGUCGAGAUGAAGCAGCAUUCAAGCUGCUUUAGUGAAGCUCUGGAUGAGUUUGUCAAUGUACUUGGUACGUUCACCGUCUCUGACACGAUCCCAUUGCUGCGGUGGCUAGAUGUGGGUGGUCACCUCAAGGCCAUGUAGGUCAUGAAGAGGGUUCAAAUGAAGCUGGAUGAAGCUUGCAGAGCACCACCAGAAGGAAUCCAAUAUCGCCGGAAUCCAAUAGCCCCGGCCAGAAGAGGGACUUGAUUGACGUGCUCAUAAAGAAUUAAAAAUCGUCCAGUUGUCGGAAAAUAAUCAAACUGAUGCCAUAAUUAAAGCCAUCGCUAUGGUUUUGGUAGUUGCCGGGACGGAGGCCACAGCAAUCACACUUGAGUGGGCUCUCUCUCUCUUGCUAAACAACCCACAUAUCUUAAAGAAAGCCCAAGAUGAGUUGGACUACCAUGUGGGCAAAGACUGACAAGUGGACGAACCAGACAACAACAACUUGCCUUACUUGCAGACUUAUACCCAGACGACACCGCUUUUGCUCUCACACGAGUCAUUGGGACCCAUUCAACUUGGUGGGUUCGACAUGUCGGUUGAUUGAACCCUGUUUGUUAACGCGUGGAAGAUUCAUCACAACCCACAUUGUCCGACCCAGAAGAGUUGAAGCCAGAGAGGUUCUUGAGCAGCGGCAAUGAGAUGACCAGCUUUGGUGGUCAGGACUUUGUGUUCUUGCCAUUUGGGUCGGGAAGGAGGUUCUGCGUCGGCUGGCGGAUGACCAUGCAAUUUAUUCACUUAACUUUGGCACGCUUGCUGCAGGGCUUUGAAUGGUCUACGCCCAAGGAUGAGCCGGUUGACAUGACCGAGGGACAUGGCCUAGUCCUGCCCAAAGCAACUCUGUUUAGAGUCCUUUUGAGGCUUCAUCUCCCUCCCCACCUCCAGUUGUGAAACUAAUGAUAGUGCUUGUUUCUAGUGUGUGCUAUAAUAUUUCCAAUGAUAUGGCAGAUUCAUAAUUUGAAACGAAGAA